CGGAAACAGUUAAUUAUGAUCUCGCGGUGAUGGUGAUGAUUGGCAAUCGGUUUGGUUACAAUCGAUGGGAGAAAACAAGUAAAAGGAGAUAAUCAGAUUAGAGAAAGAAAUUACCUUUUGAUGGUUAAACCGAACACUAAAUCUUAUGAUAUUUUUCAUCAUCUUUAUCUUCAUCUUCUCUUUCCGACUUAUCUUUGGUUAGUUUUCUCUACUAAUAAUAAUCUUUCUAUUUCUUCAUAUUCACAUGUCUUCUUGGCGUUAGGCCUAAAGGAAUCAACUCAUUCAAGUGUUAUUUGCAUUCAGGAAGGAUUCUCUCUCUCUCUCUCUCUCUCUCUCUCUCUCUCUCUCUCUCUCUCUCUCUCUCUCUCUCUCUCUCUUUCUUUCUUUCCGUCUUCUCAAACUGCUUAUCUCUGCUAUUUUUAUGUACUUUUCAACCAUUUCGUUUGCAUCCAAUUUACAUGUGAAUCAAGAAACAAAACAAUUGAAUCAAAUGCGUGGUUACAUCUUCUUCAUCAUCAUUUUUUAUAUAUUCCUUCAUCAUCCUCAAUCGCAUCAUGCUUUACAUCCUUCUAUUGACUUAUCAUCAUCAUCUUCUCACUCACUCUAUCACCUUUUUAUCCCUAUCUCAUCAAUUUCUUACUCACUUCUUUUUUUCCUUCUCCUUUGCAUGUUGUUGACUUUUUUACCUUCUUUUUACAUCAUCUUUGUAUAUUUUUUCUCAACUUCUUCUUCAUGAUGACGAUUCUGGUGAGAGAAUGAUGAAAAUUAUGAUGAUGAUGAUGUACUCAGAUGAGUUUAUCCGGAAGUUUAAGCAAAUUAUCUUCUCGCUAUUUGUUUUUCAUUUGAUUUGUUUCGGGUUUGCAUUUUUGCUUUUUCUUUCUAACCUCUAUUUUUUUCCUACACCAAUUCCUAUUAGAUUGUUACAGUUUAUCCAAUACCGAUUUCAUCCUAAUGGUCAUCGCCAUCAUUAUGCAUCUAUUUUAACGAUUUCCCCUUUUCCAUUCGAGUGGACAAGCGACCGGACUCACCUAAUUGUCUCUGAUUUUCGAAUAAUCUUCGAACAUGAUUUGACAUUAAUACUUCCGCAUUGAUUUGUUUCGGUCUUCUGGCCUCUCUAUUAACCGUUAAUUGCUACCAGAUUAUUUAAAUGAGUAUAGUUGAUCAUCUCCUCUCUCUCUCUAAUCCCAAUCAUCUAAUAAUCAUCACUAACGGAAUCAACCGGAAAUUCAUCUCAACUUUGAACUUGAAACGAUUCUCUCUCUCUCAUUUCUUUUUUCAUCUAUAAAAAGAUGAUUAUCUUAUUGAAGGUAUUUUCUGGUUACUAUGGUUUUCACUGACUUCCAUCAAUAACAAACAUUAUAUAAACAUGGUUCCAGGGCAAUUAACCAUCUUCAAGUUAAUUAACCAUAUUUUUAACCAUUUUUUGGACUGCACAAUCAACUUUAAACAACCAACGAGGUAGAAGAAAAAUUAAAAAUGAUCAACAAUCAUCAAGAAUAAUGAAUUAGUUAUUGGUUAAUCAGGUAAACAUGAAGACAACCAAGAUGAGGAUUAUCAUUAAAUCCAGGUUAACACCCAUUUGGAUUGAAAAUCUAAGGAGUAAACAUCAAGGGAUCAAAAUAAUACAUCGGAUAAACACAACAGUUCAUCAUCAUCAUCAUCAUCAUCCUAAUGAUAACCAAAUACAGUGAUGUUAAUAAUGAUUAGUAGGCCUUAAGCUGUUAGUACAUUGUAAAUGAUAUUAGAAAACAACAGCAACAUUGAAAAAAAGGGAAUACAAAAUUUGAACGUUUCCUUAAAACGCCCAAACAGAUAAUUCUGAUUUCAUGGGCUUGGCUGAUUGUUAUUAUCAUGAUUAUUUUAAUUUAAUCGUAGACAAUCAAGAAUGAAAAGUUAAUAUGAUGAAAAUCAUGUAACAGGGAAGAUGCUGAUUAAGAUGAUGGAAAAGCUGAAGUUGUAACUUGUCAAAGGUAAGAAAAAGAGUCAAAAUAAUGGAUUAAGUGUAUUACAGAUUAACAUGAUUUCCAACACAAUCAAAUUAUUAAUCAUUCAUCAAUUUUAUUCUCAUUUUAACAAUUAACUUUAAUCCUGAAGAAAGAAAAAAACAGUUAAUAUUUCUUAUAUUUAUUAGUUUAAAAGUAUCAACAAUCAGUGUUAAUCAUUUUUAUUUAUAUUUUUCUUUUCAUCAGUAAACAAUUCAGGUUGAAACUUUUUUAUUAACCUAAAUUGCUAUUAAUUAGUUACUAAUUAUUUGAUGAAAAAUUAAUUCUUUUGCACAAUUCUAACAACAAUUAACACUGGUUAGUUUCUGUUUUUUGAUUCUUCUACCUUUUAUAAUUAACUAAAUCAACAACAUGUUCAAAUGGUUAACAAUUAGAAACCUAACCCUUUAAUUGUUGGGUAAAAAUUAAUCAACAUUUGAUGAUGAUGAUUAUUAUUUUAGCCCAAUCCUUAUAAAUGAUUUUAUAUUUAUAUCUAAAUAAUUGAAUAGAUUGUUAAAUGAUAAUGUUAUUAAUGAUAAAUUAAUUUAGUUAAUUGUAAAAAUUGACCAAAAAAGUGAAUUAAUCAACUAAUUUAACCAAAACCAAACCUUAAUCCAUUUAAAUGAGACUAAUAUUUUCCUACAAAUGAUUAAUCAAUUUCUUUUUUCCUUUGAUUAUGAUCAAUUAUUAAUUAUUUGAUUGUAACUAAAUUUAAUUCCAAUUGCUGAAAGGUGGGUGAACUUAAUAGUAAGCAAUCAAAAAUUGAUUGUGAGAGUUGAAUUUACAAUUAACUUUCACAAAUGAGUAAAAUUUAAAGGUAGACCAAAAAUUAGAAACAAUUAACUUCCUCUUCCUUGAUUACGAUCAAAUAGAUUAGCAAAUAAUUAAAUCACUUGAUUAUCAAACAUUUAAUCUUAAAUCUGAUUAUCCAAUCACUAAUUUUAAAUUAUGUUAAUCACGAUGAUUAAAUUACAAUAUCUGAUUACAAUCAAGUGAGAGGGAAAAAGAAAAGUUUCUCAAUUAAAGUCUAAUCCAAAUUGGAACUAAAUUAAAAGUUGAAUUUAAAUAUAAACUGCAAUUUAAAUUUCUCUUUUUCUUCUUAAUCAUUUGCAACAAUUAAUAAAAUCUACACUAAGUUCAAGUUCAAUGAUUAGAGUUAAUUGUUGUUUACUGGUGAUACUGUAAGUCUUUAAAUCUCAACACAACAAUCAGUUAAUUGUUGAUACAGAAAAUUAACUUUUAGGAAAAACUUUUCUUUGACUUUUUCCAAUUCGCAAAAUUUAAAUUGUGACCAUUGGAUUAUCAAUAUGAUAUUAUUGAUUGUUAACCCAAGAAUUACGUAAAUAAAUCAAUAGAUUGAUAGUUAAUCAUGAUUUAUAAAAUUAACAAUUGAACAAUAAUCAUAAAUAACAAUUUGUUUAGAUAAUCAAUUUCCAGUUGAUUUAACUGAUUACAUUGAAAAUAAACAAAAUCUUUUACCCAUGAAAAUGAAGCAUCUAAACAUGAAUAAGGAAUUAGUUGAUUAUCAUGAUCAUUUUUGAUUAUGAUUAGAUGAUUAUUAUGAUUAAGAUGAUAACCAGGAUGAUGAAAGAUUCUGGUUGAAAAUCGUGUCAAUGGAUGAUGAUAAUUCAUGAUCCUCUGGGUUAAAUCAUCAUUUUAAUCAUGAAACGAAAAUACAAAUUAACUGUAACCAGAACUGAAUUAACUUUGUUUUCUUGAUUGUUAACAUUAACAAAACCAUUGACAAUAAUUAAUAAUUUGAUUAGAUUGAUUGUUAUUUUAAAAGGUGAAUAUUGUAUCAUUAUUUGUUUGUGGUUAAAUUGAAAGGUUAAUCAUUAACAACCAUUAAUGAUUGUUGUUAAUUGUUUCAUCCUCUUGUUGAUAUGAAACGUGAUUUAAUUUUCUGCGCUGAUUAUUGUUGAUUUUCAAUUAAAUUGAUCGCAAUCAUGGUUAACAGAAUUUUAUAAAACAUGUUAAAGAAAAACAAAAUGAAAUUAGCUGAUUGUUAUCAACAACAAUUAACUUUCUAGUUUAUCUGUUAAUUCAAGUAGCGAGUUGAUUGUGUUCAUUUAGAUUCCUUGAUUCAUUUAACUUUGAUCAUGAUGAUGAACAUGAUGAUGAACAUGAUGACCGCCCUGUUUGUUUUGUUUAAUCAUCAUCAUCAAAAUGUUAAUGAUUAAGAUUAAAGUUGAUUAAGAUUAUCUUGAUUUCGUCAUCAAUGCCUCCUAUCAACCUUAAUGUUGUUUGUUUACCUUUUUUCAGCCCUCAGGCUAAUUAAUUAUUAUCAUUAUGAUGAUUUUCAUGUUUAAUAGACUUUGUUGUUGGUCUGUGAGAUGAUGAUGAUAAAUAUGAUUAUCUUCAUGUUUCUCUUGAUGAUUAAAAUUAAUUGUCUCUUUGAAUUAACAGUUAAUCAAAUUGUUAAUCAGUGUUAACAGUAAGUACCAACACAUUAACUUGAUGUAAUUAUCAUUAAUCCAGAUCCUGGAUCAAGUUAAUUUUGUUUUAUUGUUAAUCUUUGACAAUUAACAGGGUUAACAAUUAACCUUACAAGUUUUUGAUUGUUAUUAUCAUGAUGAUGAUGAUGAUGAUCAGGAUGCUAAUUAAAAGGUUGCAUCUUUUUCACCUAAUAAUUAGUCAACUAACAUGUUAAUUAUCAUAAUCAUUGUUUAAUUGUUAUUAUCAUUUGCUGAUUGUUGCUAUUAAUUUAGUUCAGACAGUUAAUUUAUAUCAAAUUGUUUUUCAAAGUCACAAUAGUGAUUAACUUUAUAUUUUCAUCAUUAUGAUUGUUUUGUUUUAUUUUUAAUUGUCAAGUUGCUCAAUUGAAUCAGAAACUUUUUCUUAACAAUGAUUAACAACAACAAUCAAGUUAAUCAUUUAAUUUAACUGUUAAAUUCAUCAUUCGAUUUUUAAUUUUCCAACAUGUUCCGUUAAUUGUGUCUCGUUUUCAUGUUAAUUACGACUAAAAGUUUACUAAACAAUUUACUCUCACGUAGAUUGUCAGUUAAAUCGUUACAAUUAAACGUCUCUAAAUUUACACAACAAAUUGUUUUCAUUUAUCUUUUCCUAACCAUAGUCCAUUGAUGAAAUUUACUUGAUACAAUUAAGGGAACAAUUAAUGAUUAUGAUGUUCAGGAUGUUAAUUGUUAGCAAAAUUGAUUAUAUGUUGGCAUUUUUAAUAAAAGUUCAAAGUUAAUCAUCAGUAUCAUAAUCAUGAUUAGACUGAUAAUUUUAAAUUACUUUCAACACGCAAUUAGAUUAACCCUUAAUGAUGAUGAUCAGGUUGCAAAAUUUGUGAUAUUUAAUUAAUUGUCUACGUUUUUAAAUUAUAAUUAAAAGGUAAUUGAUAAUUGAUUUUAACGAGUAACAAACUAAAUUAAUUGUGAUGACAUUUUUUCAUUAUUUU